CCGGUUGAUCCUGCCGGCGGCCACCGCUAUUGGAAUUCGAUUAAGACAUGCGAGUCGAGAGUCGCAAGGACUCGGCGGACCGCUCAGUAACACGCGGAUAACAUGCCCUUGGGUGGGGGAUAACCUCGGGAAACUGAGAAUAAUACCCCAUAGAUCUAGAAAGCUGGAAUGCUUUUAGAUCGAAAACUCCGGUGCCCAAGGAUUGGUCUGCGGCGUAUCAGGUUGUAGUGGGUGUAACGGACCCCCUAGCCCGUGACGGAUAUGGGCCUUGAGAGAGGGAGCCCAGAGAUGGACUCUGAGACAUGAGUCCAGGCCCUACGGGGCGCAGCAGUCGCGAAAACUUCGCAAUGGGGGCAACCCCGACGAGGGAAUUCCAAGUGCCAGCACUUUGUGUUGGCUGUUCUCCUGUCUAAAAAACAGGAGGAGUAAGGGGCGGGUAAGACGGGUGCCAGCCGCCGCGGUAAUACCCGCGCCCCUAGUGGUGGUCGAUAUUAUUGAGCCUAAAACGUCCGUAGCCGGUCUUUUAAAUCCUUGGGUAAAUCGGGCAGCUUAACUGUCCGAAGUCCGGGGAGACUGGAAGACUUGGGACCGGGAGAGGUCAGAGGUACUUCUGGGGUAGGGGUAAAAUCCUGUAAUCCUGGAAGGACCACCGGUGGCGAAGGCGUCUGACUAGAACGGAUCCGACGGUGAGGGACGAAGCCCUGGGGCGCAAACGGGAUUAGAUACCCCGGUAGUCCAGGGUGUAAACGCUGCGGGCUUGGUGUUGGGGGUCCUUAGUGGGCGCCCAGUGCCGGAGAGAAGUUGUUAAGCCUGCUGCUUGGGGAGUAUGUCCGCAAGGAUGAAACUUAAAGGAAUUGGCGGGGGAGCACCGCAACGGGAGGAGCGUGCGGUUCAWUGGAUUCAACGCCGGG
rnacentral:rRNA from 1 species